CUCCCACGUCUCUUCCCUGCCAUCCAUCACCGCCUGCCGCUGUCACUUCGCCACCGCGGCUGUCACGCGGCUGUGACUGAGAACAACCUACAGAUAUGAAAGAUGGACACAUCCAAAUUUGAUCUAGAUGCCCACAUAAAGUAUUGAGCUGGGUAAAAUUUCUGAAUACUAUGAUCAACUAUCACCUCUUAUAAAACAAUGGCAGGAAUAAAAAGGCAGCACAAAGGAAUAACCUACUCACUAUUUUGCAGUUGUGGUGAAUUGCAGGUUUUUAGGCAGAUCACAAGAUAACAAGAUCGACGUGAGGUCAUCCAUCUCCCACACUACUCUGGGAGAAUGAGCUAUUUGACCAUGAAAACAGUUUCUCUGCCACCACCGUCAUGAGAGUUAACUUUCCUGAUGCCACAAGUUUUGCUGAGCAACAAAAGAGUAGCUUUAUGCACACUUGAGAAAAACAAGUGGAACUGUGAUGUUAUGACACCUACCACUUGCUCAAAAUGCAUGAAUGCAAAAUACAAAGCAACGUUAACUGAAGGUGCAAGUGUUCCGUA